CUGACGUGUUGCUGGGAAUUGAACUUGGGUCUUCUGGGAAAGCAGCCAGUGCCCCUAAUCAAUGAGUCAUCACCUCUCUAGCCCUCACCAUUUUACAUUUUUUUUUUUGGUGUCACAUUUCUAGCUGGAAGAUUAGGGGUUAACUUCAAAACAAAACAGAAACAAAAUGAACAACAACAACAACAGCAGCAGCAGCAGCAGCAGCAGCAGCAGCAACAACAGCAACAAACCCUCCAGAAUUUUCAAUGUUCCAUUUGACCUGGAGGAAUAGAGAGAAUCCUGACAUUGAGGUCAUGAAACUGUGCUUUGGAAUUUCUGCCCAGAUGCUGUUGUCUUUAUCUACAAUAUCAAAGAAUCCUCAGCCCUUCAAAAGCCAGAGUUUCUGACCUUGAAGAGGAAUCUGCCCAUGACAACUGCACACCUUGGUACUGACAUGGAUCUGGGUUUUAGAACAUCCCUUUCUUUAAAGGAUUCACCACCUCAUACUUUGGAAGGUGGCACUCCGAUUGGAUAGAAGUUUGAGCCAAAAGUUGGAUGCAUAAUUCAACUAUUUAUAAACAUAUUUGUAGGUAAUUUUACUUUUUAUUGUCAGAUUAAAUAAACCAACAAGCU
rnacentral:lncRNA from 1 species